GGACGGAUAGCUCAGCUGGUUAGAGCACUCGCUUGACAUGCGAGAGGUCACAGGUUCGAUCCCUGUUCCGUCCAC
rnacentral:tRNA from 1 species